rnacentral:lncRNA from 1 species
AAGGAGUGGUUCUUCUGAGGAAAACCAGCUGAAGUAUUACAGAAAGAGGAAAUGCUGCAGAGACCCAGCCGGAAACAGUGCUGGCCAGCUCACGCCUGACCCACCCUUAUUCUAAGCAUAGGGUCUGCCUCUGAAGAGCUAAAGACUUCCUGAAAUUUAAAAAUUAGUGCUUUUAUUUGCUUGUCCUGCUAAGACCGUAGGCAAAGGCCAUCCUCCUCCCAUUGACAGUUUAGAGUGGGCAGAAACAACCACGGUUACCCUAGAAGUAAAUCCAGAGCUGCGGGACGCUGGAGGACAAAACCAACCUUCCAGGGAAGCCGAGGAGAAGUCAUGCCUUCAAAAGGUGUCUGCCUUUUUUUUUUUCACCCUCUCUCCUCUAACCUGUUUGUAACUGGGAAAUGAAAUAGUUUUGGUUUGCAAGCUGUCGCCAGGGAGUGGAGCAAGACUUUGUAAUAAACAAGAGCAACUGCCAGAGCCCCCAGCGAGCCUCUCCAAGGCCAGACUGCCAAGAAAAGCUGGCAGUGUGACAGCAAGUUUCAUUCAGCGUGGCCGGUGGUCACUGAGGAGCGACCAUGAGGAGGAUGGCCAGAGGGGGUACCCCCCAGUCUCACCUUGGGGAAGAGUACAGCCUCCUAUUAGUGAGCUGUGUGGGCUAUUAAAAUUCCCCCAGGCUGAGUGUUUCAGGAAACACCAUAAAUAAAUAAAAUUGUCUGUGUGUGUGUGUGUGUGUGUGUGUGUGUGUGCAAUUCUCUAGAGAAAAGAUCUAGAGCUUUCACCAAAUUCCCAAGAGCCCACGACCCUUACAGCAGAAGCCAAACUCAGAAUUAGCACACACUUAGGUCUUCUGCAAAAGAACACCAAGCUCACCACUUUUAUUUCUGGAAACUGAGCCUAGGCGGUCAGCCCACUCUCCUCUUACAAAACCCCUAGGCACUUAAGAGACCACAGGGGAAAAAAAAGAACUCAACCCCUUUUCUAAUCUAAACCUAAUCCUUCUUAAACCUUGCCUGACCCGGGUUACCAGGAAUCCUGCCAGUGCCAAAUGAUACGAUGUUUAUUCAGCUCAUGUCUUAGCCCGCUGCUCCUGAGCCACAGAAAUCAAAGGGGAACAUUCAGCCACCACCUGCUGAUCAACGUGUAAACAAAGGGGUAGUCAAGACUGAGGAGGACCAGCUUUUGAGGACAAUCACUGCGUGUUGCUCCAGCUCACAUAAAGGCACGGCUCCUAAGGAACAGGCUUGAGACAUGCACAAGUGCUGUGCCAAGUAGUUCAGGAGCCUGGUACAGCUGUUCCCAAUAUGCCUUUACCUCCUGUUGCCUCUUCUAACCACAAUAGGGUGUGGAUGACAUAGUGCCCUUGCUCCCAGAAGAAACUGGGAAAGUUACAACUCAUUAACCAGUUAGGUUAGUGUUGGAACAGUGCUUGCCACAUUAUUCUGAGAAGCCUCAGAUCCGUGAGGGUGAUGUGGAGCUCAGAACACAUGGCCUGACCCCAUGUGGGGUUUUACUGGAGCAGUUGUUUUGAUCUGUCUUACAUCUGGGGGAUCUGCAAGAGAUUUCGAGGGAUGAGGGCCAGUUCCCUUGCUAAAACUUAGAAUGUUUAAAAAAAAAAAAAACUCCCUUGUACUAUUGAGCUUGGUACAUCUUUCCUUGAAAGGAGCUAAAGUGAAAUAACUUAUAGAUCCUGACAUGCAAUGAGCUGGGUUUUUUUCCAAUUUUCUUUGCUUCUUGUCUCUGAACAUAUGCCUCCUUAUAAUUCUUCCUAUAUGUGUUUGAUAGCAUUGUUCUCUGAGUAAUAGUAACCAUGAGAAGAAUAUCUAACAUUUAUUCCAUGCCUAUUGUGUGCCAUGCCACAUGCUGGGCACUUUAUGUGCCCUUAUCCUACCGGACCCCGCUGCAGCCCUGUGAGUGGAUGGUCCCUCUCUUCAGCUCUCAGGUGACACAAAAACAACAACAACAACAUCCGCAACAGCAACUUCUUCAGUUCAUUUAGUUGAUGAAGAAACUGACAUCUGGAGAAGUUGAAGUAAUUUGCACAAAGAUUCACUUGGCUAACGGAGUUUUGCUCUGUCACCCAGGCUGGAGUGCAAUGGCCCGAUCUCGCCUCACUGCAACCUCCACCUCCCGAGUUCAAGAGAUUCUCCUGCCUCAGCCUCCCAGGGGCUGGGAAGUUCAAGAUCCAGGCCUCAGAAGAUUUGGGGUUUGGUGAGGGCCAUCUUCUCACUGUAGCCUUACAUGGUGGAAGAGGUAAGGCAGCUCUCUGGAACCUCUUUUAUAAGGGCACUAAUCCCUUUCAUGAGAACUCAGCCCUUAUGAACUCAUCGCCUCCUAAAUUCUCUACCUCCUAACACCAUCACUUUGACAAUCAGAUUUCAACAUAUGAAUUUGUGGGAGUCACCAGCAUUGAGACUAUAGCAACCCCUUAUUAGAAAUAAUUCAUGAGGAACUGAAACUGUUAGGAAACCACUGUGUAAAUGCUGGGAAACAAAGUCAGAUAAAUAAUGCUGAUAAUUACCUGACUGCUUUUGGAACUGUCCUUUUUUGUGAACAUGAGACUACAUCAUUGUCAGUUGAUUGCAGAAGAACCACUAUGAUAUUAUAAUGGGGUCCUGACUCCAUGACUGUGUAAUUCAUGGCUUUCUAACGGUUUAUUAUUGACCUAACUUUGCAGCUCCCCUAGAUCCCCUAACUCCACCAUCUUGGGUUGCAACCAAUGACCUGUUAUUGCAAAACAGGUAAUCUCACUUAGAUAAGUAUUAAUCAGAGGGGCUUGACUUCCAGAGUUCAUUUCAAUGGUUUUCAACUCAUUUGUAGAGUUUAACAUCAGUAGCCCUUUCUCUUCCAUAGGAGGGAGAUGAACCAUCCUGUUUGUUCAAUAAUCAGUGAGAGCGUGGCUUUAACGUCUCUUCCACUCCUUUCUAGUUCAGGUCUUUCUUAACUUGAUGGAGAUAGCUUGGGCCAGGGAGGGCAGAGUGAAGAUGAGAUGGCAAAAAAAAAAAAGUUUUGAUCAGCAGCAUUGACUCUGUGCUAAAUACUGUGCUCAGCUCUUUGGAUGUUAUUUCAUUGAAAUGGAAAGAACACUGUAAAGUUGUCUUGUGAGGCACACUUUCCUGUUGAGGAAAUAAAAGCAUUAAAUAACUUGCCCCCAAAUACAAAGCUAUUAGGAUUGAAACAAAGACUUGAGCCCGGGAUCUAUCUAAUUUCAAGGUCCUUGUUUUUUUUCUACUACAUUUCUCUUUGAGAUACAGUUACUCAAAGGUGUCCAAACUUCAGUUAAUGUCAACCUCUGCCUCACUCUGGUCCUGGUGCCUUUCCCAUGUUCCUGAGAAGAUCAUGUGGCACACUUCUCUAAACGUCUCUGUGCCAUAUCUCUUGGGAUCAAAAGGCCAUUCCAAUAAUUCUUCUGCAUUUCUUAAUGUAUGCUCAGAUGGCCCUGGUUUGCAUUUAGAGAAAGGAAGCUAAGACCUUGGUGAUAACUAAAUAUUUAUAUCUAUUUUUUGAUUAUGUGCUUGUAUUUAAUUAAGUGGGUGCCUACUGUUGUGAAAAUACUUUUGAAUACAAUUCUGAAGUUGUGCCAGGGAACUCUGACAAUGGGUAUGCUGGGAGCUGUCUGAUUUCCUUGUCCUAGACAACUCAUACAAUGCAGUAGAAAAAGAAUUCUUUAUUCCCACUGCCUUUCCUUAGCCCUUCUUCAGAGCAGGGGAAGUGUGACUGUAGCUUUAAAUAGUUUAAAUAGUCCUUCAAAUACGGCAAAUAAAACAGUAUCAAUGAAAAAGAAGAUAAAAUGAGUGGAUUACUCAUAUGAGUUUCAGUUUUAUCAUUCAGUUUCACAGAACUCCAAAGAAUAAUGUGAUUAAGUGGUUUCUUUUUGCAAGGAUUUUCCAGGUGAAAGAUCUGAGCUAUAUAUUGAGGAACCAUAGGAUUAAAAUAGACAUGGGUUUGCUUCUAUGACAGCAUUUUGCAAAAUAACAUGACCAGGUACUAUUGCUCAUGCCUGUCACCCCAGCACCGUGGUCAAGGCAAGUAGAUCACUUGAGGCCAGGAAUUCAAGACCAGCCUGGCUAACAUGGCAAAACCUCAUCUCUAUUAAAAAUACAAAACUUAGCCAGAUCUGGUGGCACAUGCCUGUAAUCCCAGCUACUCAGGAGGCUGAGGCAUGAGAAUCACUUGAGCCUGGCAGGCAGAGGUUGCAGUGAGCCGAGAUUGUGCCACUGUGCUCCAGCCUGGGUGAUAGAGUGAGACCCUGUCUCAAAACAAACAAACAAAGCAAACAAAAACACACACACAAAAAAACCCACCUCUGAUGUGACCCAUGGAUAGAAAACAACAAAUUAAGUUUUAAUGAGACUAUAUAUGCUUGUACUUUAAAAUGGGGCUAAUUCAUAGAUAUAGAAAACUAUACUUAUGACAGUUCAUAUAAAUGAGCCACUGGACUGUCCAAAUUUACCUCUUUUUAUUGUAUGGAC